CAGGCCUAGCACAUGCAAGUCGAACGCCCCGCAAGGGGAGUAACAGACGGGUGAGUAACACGUGGGAACGUGCCCUUUGGUUCGGAACAACACAGGGAAACUUGUGCUAAUACCGGAUGUGCCCUUCGGGGGAAAGAUUUAUCGCCAUUGGAGCGGCCCGCGUCUGAUUAGCUAGUUGGUGAGGUAAAAGCUCACCAAGGCGACGAUCAGUAGCUGGUCUGAGAGGAUGACCAGCCACAUUGGGACUGAGACACGGCCCAAACUCCUACGGGAGGCAGCAGUGGGGAAUCUUGCGCAAUGGGCGAAAGCCUGACGCAGCCAUGCCGCGUGGAUGAUGAAGGUCUUAGGAUUGUAAAAUCCUUUCAGCGGGGACGAUAAUGACGGUACCCGCAGAAGAAGCCCCGGCUAACUUCGUGCCAGCAGCCGCGGUAAU
rnacentral:rRNA from 1 species